CCUACGGGAGGCAGCAGUCGAGAAUCAUUCACAAUGGGGGAAACCCUGAUGGUGCGACGCCGCGUGGGGGAAUGAAGGUCUUCGGAUUGUAAACCCCUGUCAUGUGGGAGCAAAUUAAAAAGAUAGUACCACAAGAGGAAGAGACGGCUAACUCUGUGCCAGCAGCCGCGGUAAUACAGAGGUCUCAAGCGUUGUUCGGAAUCACUGGGCGUAAAGCGUGCGUAGGAUGUUUCGUAAGUCGUGUGUGAAAGGCGCGGGCUCAACCCGCGGACGGCACAUGAUACUGCGAGACUAGAGUAAUGGAGGGGGAACCGGAAUUCUCGGUGUAGCAGUGAAAUGCGUAGAUAUCAGGAGGAACACCGGUGGCGAAGGCGGCUUACUGGACAGUGACUGACGUUGAGGCUCGAAAGCGUGGGGAGCGAACAGGAUUAGAUACCCCUGUAGUC
rnacentral:rRNA from 1 species